UUUGAAAAAAUGGCUUUGGCUUUCACUUCAUCUGCAAUUCAUGGCUUUUUGUCCUCCUCCUCUUCUUCUUAUGAACAUCCCAAAGGUAACCCUUUACUUUUUUUUUUUUACCUUUAAUAGAUUCAAUCUUUAUCCUAGAAUGUGAUAAUUUCAAGCUUUUUAGCACCCUGGUUUCAAUUUUCUUGUGUGUUUGUAUCAGUUAUAUGUAGUUAUUUUUUCUCUGUUAUUUCGUGGCUCUUUUGUCUUCUUAUGAACAAUCCAAGGAUUUUCAUUACUUGUCCCUUUCAAAGUUUCAAUAUUUCUCCUAGAUUUGAUUGAUAUAUUUGGACAAUUUUAGCAUUUGGGCUCAAUUUUUUUUGUUUCAGAUUUUUGUUUUGUUUUGAUCCUUGUCUUCUUACUUAACAACCCAAAUGUAUCUGUUGAUUUUCCAUUUAAGAGUUUCAAUACUUAUCAUGAGUUUGAUUGGAGAAAUUUCAGAAUCUGAUUUGAAUUUCGGGUUAUUUGAUUUUGGGUUAUAUCUAUUCUUUAAUUAAUUUGUUAUUGUGUGUAUGCAAUGUCCCAAUUGGAGAAGAAGAAAGAGGGAGAUCAGAUGAGUGAGAAUGAGUGUGAUAGAUACUACCCAUUUUUGUAAAGGGGUCGGAUAAGGUAAAUGAGUUGAAAUAAUAUCCAUUUUUUGUUAAUAGAAUUAACUUCGUGUAUUUUUUUGAACGGAUAGAUGGACAGAGGGUAUUUAUAAACUAUUUAGCAAAUGAUAUGGAUAUUUUUGACCUUUUUCCGUUU
rnacentral:lncRNA from 1 species